UUGAAGAUGUUGGACCUACCAUAUAUACAAUGCAUACAUUAGCCGGCUACUCUAACCCGCAAACUAUGAAAGUUGGCGAAACUUUAGAACAUCAGCCUGUUAUAGUCUUGAUUGAUACUGGUAGCGCUAACAAUUUUAUGGACAGUGAGACUGUUGACCGAUUGGCCCACCACAUUGAAGACGAUGACAAAUUCGAAGUAAAGAUCGUUGAUGGACGGAUUUUCACUUGUGAUAGCAAAGGUUCGAAGAUAAAAUUAAUUAUACAGGGCCAGAAGUUUCAUGCAAUGAUUGCUACAUUGAAAGACCGACUUGUUGCUUACACUAUCAAAAAGUGGAGAUCAUACUUACUUGAUCAACGGGUUGUGAUGCGUUGCAGAUAGUCUAUGGCUAAAGUGCUGAAAGAGAAGCUCCCAGAGAUUGAUGCUGCUCAGCCUUGAGGACAAGGCUGAUUUGAAGAGGGAGGAACUGUUAGGACCCUUUUUCUAAGCUUUUGUAUAA
rnacentral:lncRNA from 1 species